CUGCUCGCGCCUUCUCCCGCAGUUUGUCUUGGCGCGUGUCCAGGUCACGAGCUGCAGAAAAAGACGCAGAACAAACUGAACACUACGAAAAAAGCACGCACAGAAAAAGCUACGCGACGCAGCGAAACAGAAACUGAGAGAAUGUGAGAAGAAGUUUUCUUCAGGCUGCAGCAGCGUCUGACGUCACACGCCCGAAAACCAAAAGCAACCCGCUGUGAUGGCGGAGGUCGUAGUUUAACGUUAUUUUGUUAUUUAAACGUUUUAAUUUAACGUUAAUAUUAUUUUAACGUUUCAUCGUGGACACAGACGACGGGUCGACCACGUCCAGCUUCCCCGCUCCUCAUCACAGAAACCUGUUCGUCGUGGACACAGCGAGACGUGGUGGACCUGGUCCAGCAUCACAAAGGACCUGAACUCUCUCAGAACAGGUCGAUCUUCAGGAAGAUCUUCAAACGGUAGGACCAAUUUUUCUUUUUGAUUUUGGUUGGCCGCCGUGC